rnacentral:sRNA from 1 species
GAUUUGAGGGAAAUGUCUGAUUAGUAGACAGGCCCCAGAAGCUGUGAGGGGCACUCGCACGCGACCAAGGCACCUGUUUCCAAGCAGCUUGCUCAGGAUCUGGCAUACUCCAGUGCCAAUAUCUGCAAUGUGGUCCUGAUGCGGUACGGGGAGCUGGAGGAAGGGAUUGAUGUCCUGGACAGCGAUGGCAACCUCGUGGGCUCCUCCAAGAUCGCAGCCCGACACGCCCUGCUGGAGACGGCGCUGACGCGAGUGGUCCUGCCCAUGCCCAUCCUGGUGCUACCCCCGAUCGUCAUGUCCAUGCUGGAGAAAUUGAAACAUCCCAAUUAGAGCCGGAGAUAGCCCAGGCCACGAGCAGCCGGACAGUGGUGUACAACAAGGGGCUGUGAGUGUGGUCAGCGGCCUGGGGACGGAGCACUGUGCAGCCGGGGAGCUGAGGGGCAGGGUGGUAGACUCACAGCUGCACCUGCAGGGAGCAGCACACCAACCCCAGCAGUCCUGGGCCCCCUGGGAGAGUGCUCAACCUGCAGUGGAGGGAGACUGACCCAUUCACAUUUUAACAUAGGCGAGAGGAGUUCUAACACAUUUCGCACAAAAAAAUAAUCAAGUGCAUUUCUGGGCCUUAUGUGGGGUUGUCAGAACUCCACUCAGCACAAUUAUGUGUGAAGCUGAAAAAUUGUAGAGUGCCCAUGGGGUAGAAGUAGAAUCCUUUUAUACUUUGAUUCCUUUUUUAUUUUUAUUUUUUAUCAGAAUCAAAUCUGAGCCUUAGUUUCAGCUGACCAGAAGUGGCAGGAGGACAGGUGGAGGG